AGGCUUCCUAGGCGGAUGGUUGAUGCCCGUCAGUGAUCAAGAGGCAUUCUGUUCUGUUCUAUUCUAUUCCGUUCCAUUCCAUAGCUACCACAAAGAGUGAGAAAUUUACACAUAUCUAGAGUGUUUGUGAGAUAAUCUUGAACAUUGAACAUGAACAUUGAACACUGAACAUUCAAAUGAACAGUCUUGACACAACACAACUUAAAAUCAGCAUGCAUCUUGGCUGUGGGGAAACUUUCUCAAGAGAACAACUUGAAGAGAAUAUAUUUUCCUCCACACCUGUACAAACCAGUAUCUCAGCUAUCAGAAGUAAUGUAACCAUCCCGCUGCUCAAGAAAGGGGAUAUAGUGGGUACACAUCACAUGCCACCCUGUUGAUUUACCUGUGUGACCAUGAAGAGGAAAUGAGCAAAUGGUAUGGAAAAUCUACCUUGAACCUAGAGGCAUGAGUAUGUGCGUUGCAAGGAAAAAGGGGGUUCUUCUGGGAAAUUUGCUGCUCCAGUUUCCAGUGGGAAAACUGUCUACUCUGUCCCCCAGAGAGAGUUAAAGGGAUGAUCUUAUUCUGAUUUUAACAAAGGGAAUUCUGAUAUGUGUUUACAAGAAGUGAGUAUCAAAUACUAUGAUCUGGACUAGAGGGGUCCUGUCUCCAGCCAGAUGGAGGAAAGGGAGAACCAUACUUAAUGGGUCUGGCACAUCCUCUGCCAGAGGAGUAUAAGGCUCUAGUGGACACCAGUUCACAGUGUACCUUAAUGACAUCAAGAUAUAAAGGGGCAGAACUCAUUUGUAUUUCUGGAGUGACAGGAGAAUCCUAAAAGCAAACUGUACUGGAGGCUUAAGUGAGCCUAACUGUAAAUGAGUAGCAAAACCACCCCAUUGUGACUGGCCCAGAGUCUCCAUUUGUCCUUGGCAUAGAUUAUCUCCGAAUAGGAUAUUUCAAGGACAUAAAAGGGUACCAGUGGGCCUUCGGUAUUGCUGCCUUGGAGAUGGAGGAAAAGAAUCAGCUGUCCACCUUACCUAGUCUCUUGAAAAACCCUUCCUUUGUGGGGUUGCUGAGGGUCAAAGAAUGGCAGGUGCUGAUUGUUACCACAGCGGUGCACUGGCAGACAUAUUGCACCAACCAAGAAUCCCCAGCCCCAUCCAUAGAAUCAUAGAAUCAUUUAGGUUGGAAAAGACCUGUAAAAUCAUCUAGUCCAACUAUGAACCUAGCACUGCCAAGUCUACCACUAAACUAUGUCACUAAGCAGAACAUUUACACAUCUUUUGAAUACCUUCAACUACUUCCCUGGACAGCCUGUUCCAAUGCCUCACAACCCUUUCAGUGAAAAAAUUUUUCUUGAUAUACAACUUAAACCUCU
rnacentral:lncRNA from 1 species